CGGCGAGGCUGUGCAAACAGUUGCAUUGUCAGAAUCACUGGGAGGUCCCCUCAAUGCUUCGGGGAUUUCAGCGACUUCAAAUGCUUCAAAGCCAAACAAAACCAAAAACUUCCCCUUCAGAAAGUCAGGACCCAUCCUGUUCUUCCCCUUUCCUUCCUACUAAGAAACUUGGUAGAGGGUUGGGAGGACAGCCCUGAAGCAAUUCACCCAGUGGGGGAGCCAGCACACUCUCUGACCACCUCCGCAGUGACUUCACACACUGACCACACACUUGAGCUACUGUCAGGAUCCUUCCCCUUGGUCAAAAAUAAAAACAGCACACCUACUCUUCUGGGGGUGAGUCACAAACAGAAAAAAGUCAAUGGCUCUGAGACAAGAGGAUCUGCUAACAUGGGAAAAACUCCCAGGGGAGGUGUCUCAGCAGAUGCUGUGGUCCUACCCGGGUAGCUGGCAUGACCAAAGACCGGUCCAAACAGUUCUGAACCUCAAGCAUCAGCCACUA
rnacentral:lncRNA from 1 species